GAUUAAGAACGUAGCGAAAUGCGAUAAGUAAUGUGAAUUGCAGAAUUCAGUGAAUCAUCGAAUCUUUGAACGCACAUUGCGCCCGCCAGCAUUCUGGCGGGCAUGCCUGUUCGAGCGUCAUUUCAACCCUCGAGCCCCCCCGGGGGCCUCGGUGUUGGGGGACGGCACACCAGCCGCCCCCGAAAUGCAGUGGCGACCCCGCCGCAGCCUCCCCUGCGUAGUAGCACACACCUCGCACCGGAGCGCGGAGGCGGUCACGCCGUAAAACGCCCAACUUUCUUAGAGUUGACCUCGGAUCAGGUAGGAAUACCCGCUGAACUUAAGCAUAUCAAUAAGCGGAGGA
rnacentral:misc_RNA from 1 species